rnacentral:rRNA from 1 species
UUAAGCGACUAAGCGUACACGGUGGAUGCCCUGGCAGUCAGAGGCGAUGAAGGACGUGCUAAUCUGCGAAAAGCGUCGGUAAGGUGAUAUGAACCGUUAUANNNNNNNNNNNNNNNNNNNNNNNNNNNNNNNNNNCACUAUCGUUAACUGAAUACAUAGGUUAACGAGGCGAACCGGGGGAACUGAAACAUCUAAGUACCCCGAGGAAAAGAAAUCAACCGAGAUUCCCCCAGUAGCGGCGAGCGAACGGGGAGCAGCCCAGAGUCUGAAUCAGCUUGUGUGUUAGUGGAACGGUCUGGAAAGUCCGACGGUACAGGGUGAUAGUCCCGUACACCAAAAUGCACAGGCUGUGAACUCGAAGAGUAGGGCGGGACACGUGGUAUCCUGUCUGAAUAUGGGGGGACCAUCCUCCAAGGCUAAAUACUCCUGACUGACCGAUAGUGAACCAGUACCGUGAGGGAAAGGCGAAAAGAACCCCGGCGAGGGGAGUGAAAAAGAACCUGAAACCGUGUACGUACAAGCAGUGGGAGCACCUUCGGGUGUGACUGCGUACCUUUUGUAUAAUGGGUCAGCGACUUAUAUUCUGUAGCAAGGUUAACCGUAUAGGGGAGCCGCAGGGAAACCGAGUCUUAACUGGGCGUUAAGUUGCAGGGUAUAGACCCGAAACCCGGUGAUCUAGCCAUGGGCAGGUUGAAGGUUGGGUAACACUAACUGGAGGACCGAACCGACUAAUGUUGAAAAAUUAGCGGAUGACUUGUGGCUGGGGGUGAAAGGCCAAUCAAACCGGGAGAUAGCUGGUUCUCCCCGAAAGCUAUUUAGGUAGCGCCUCGUGAAUUCAUCUUCGGGGGUAGAGCACUGUUUCGGCUAGGGGGUCAUCCCGACUUACCAACCCGAUGCAAACUACGAAUACCGAAGAAUGUUAUCACGGGAGACACACGGCGGGUGCUAACGUCCGUCGUGAAGAGGGAAACAACCCAGACCGCCAGCUAAGGUCCCAAAGUCAUGGUUAAGUGGGAAACGAUGUGGGAAGGCACAGACAGCCAGGAUGUUGGCUUAGAAGCAGCCAUCAUUUAAAGAAAGCGUAAUAGCUCACUGGUCGAGUCGGCCUGCGCGGAAGAUGUAACGGGGCUAAACCAUGCACCGAAGCUGCGGCAGCGACACUAUGUGUUGUUGGGUAGGGGAGCGUUCUGUAAGCCUGCGAAGGUGACCUGUGAGGGUUGCUGGAGGUAUCAGAAGUGCGAAUGCUGACAUAAGUAACGAUAAAGCGGGUGAAAAGCCCGCUCGCCGGAAGACCAAGGGUUCCUGUCCAACGUUAAUCGGGGCAGGGUGAGUCGACCCCUAAGGCGAGGCCGAAAGGCGUAGUCGAUGGGAAACAGGUUAAUAUUCCUGUACUUGGUGUUACUGCGAAGGGGGGACGGAGAAGGCUAUGUUAGCCGGGCGACGGUUGUCCCGGUUUAAGCAUGUAGGCUGGUUGUCCAGGCAAAUCCGGAUAAUCAAGGCUGAGGUGUGAUGACGAGGCACUACGGUGCUGAAGUAACAAAUGCCCUGCUUCCAGGAAAAGCCUCUAAGCAUCAGGUAACAUUAAAUCGUACCCCAAACCGACACAGGUGGUCAGGUAGAGAAUACCAAGGCGCUUGAGAGAACUCGGGUGAAGGAACUAGGCAAAAUGGUGCCGUAACUUCGGGAGAAGGCACGCUGGUGUGUAGGUGAAGUCCCUGCGGAUGGAGCUGAGACCAGUCGAAGAUACCAGCUGGCUGCAACUGUUUAUUAAAAACACAGCACUGUGCAAACACGAAAGUGGACGUAUACGGUGUGACGCCUGCCCGGUGCCGGAAGGUUAAUUGAUGGGGUUAUCCGUAAGGAGAAGCUCUUGAUCGAAGCCCCGGUAAACGGCGGCCGUAACUAUAACGGUCCUAAGGUAGCGAAAUUCCUUGUCGGGUAAGUUCCGACCUGCACGAAUGGCGUAAUGAUGGCCAGGCUGUCUCCACCCGAGACUCAGUGAAAUUGAACUCGCUGUGAAGAUGCAGUGUACCCGCGGCAAGACGGAAAGACCCCGUGAACCUUUACUAUAGCUUGACACUGAACAUUGAGCCUUGAUGUGUAGGAUAGGUGGGAGGCUUUGAAGCGUGGACGCCAGUCUGCGUGGAGCCAACCUUGAAAUACCACCCUUUAAUGUUUGAUGUUCUAACGUUGGCCCCUUACCGGGGUUGCGGACAGUGUCUGGUGGGUAGUUUGACUGGGGCGGUCUCCUCCCAAAGCGUAACGGAGGAGCACGAAGGUUAGCUAAUCCUGGUCGGACAUCAGGAGGUUAGUGCAAUGGCAUAAGCUAGCUUGACUGCGAGCGUGACGGCGCGAGCAGGUGCGAAAGCAGGUCAUAGUGAUCCGGUGGUUCUGAAUGGAAGGGCCAUCGCUCAACGGAUAAAAGGUACUCCGGGGAUAACAGGCUGAUACCGCCCAAGAGUUCAUAUCGACGGCGGUGUUUGGCACCUCGAUGUCGGCUCAUCACAUCCUGGGGCUGAAGUAGGUCCCAAGGGUAUGGCUGUUCGCCAUUUAAAGUGGUACGCGAGCUGGGUUUAGAACGUCGUGAGACAGUUCGGUCCCUAUCUGCCGUGGGCGCUGGAGAAUUGAGGGGGGCUGCUCCUAGUACGAGAGGACCGGAGUGGACGCAUCACUGGUGUUCGGGUUGUCAUGCCAAUGGCACUGCCCGGUAGCUAAAUGCGGAAGAGAUAAGUGCUGAAAGCAUCUAAGCACGAAACUUGCCCCGAGAUGAGUUCUCCCUGAGACUUUAAGUCUCCUGAAGGAACGUUGAAGACGACGACGUUGAUAGGCCGGGUGUGUAAGCGCAGCGAUGCGUUGAGCUAACCGGUACUAAUGAACCGUGAGGCUUAACCUU